ACCCACGUCAACUUCACCACAUCCACGAUCAUCCACCGCGAGGAAGUCGAUCUCUGCCGCGAGGACAUGCCGAUCUUCUACCGCGAGGAAGUCGAUCUCUACCGCGAGGAAAUCGAUGUCUACCGCGAGGACAUGUUUUCCUUCGUCGGGAUGGUCAUGGAGGUGGAUUCGACGACGACUUCUGCGAGGAACCGUCACGAUCCCACGUCUUGCUCCCUCGCGAAGGUCAACGCAACGGUGUCUUCGACGACGACGUCCCGCGAGCGCCUUCGUCAACGUCGUCCUUCCGCGACUACGUC
rnacentral:lncRNA from 1 species